rnacentral:autocatalytically_spliced_intron from 1 species
AACCGCCGUAUGCCGGACGGCACGUACGAUGGUAGAGAGGACGGUAAGGGAAAUAAUCCCUUACUUUUUACUCGAU